rnacentral:rRNA from 1 species
GACGAACGCUGGCGGCGUGCCUAAUACAUGCAAGUAGAACGCACAGUUUAUACCGUUGCUUGCUACACCAUAGACUGUGAUUUGCGAACGGGUUAUUAACGCGUAGGUAACCUGCCUGGUAUCGUGGGAUAACUAUUUGAAACGAUAGCUAAUACCGCAUACUAUUUAUUAUUGCAUGAUAAUUUAUUUAAAUUUUCUAUUUCAUCACUACCUUAUGGUCCUUCGUUGUAUUAGCUAGUAGGUGAGGUAACGGCUCACCUAGUCGACGAUACAUAGCCGAACUGGGAGGGGGAUCGGCCAAAAUGGGAAUGAGAAAAGGCACAGAAGCCUAAGGGAGGCAGCAGUAGGGAAACAUCGGAAAUGGACGAAAGUCAGAACGAGGAAAGGCGAGUGAGUGAAGAAGGUUUUCGGAACGUAAAGCUAUGUUGAAAGAGAAGAAAGGGUGGGAGAGUGGAAAGUUCACAGUGUGACGGCAACUUACAAGAAAGGGACGGCUAACUACGUG